ensembl:lncRNA
CUGCUGCGCUGUUCAUUUUUCUAUGAACUUGUUCAUCUUUUCCUUACUGAUUUAAGAAACCUUACUGAAUUCAGUUAACCCUAGCAAUCCACAUUUGAUGGAAACAUUAUCAUUUGCAUCUGGUGGGGGAGGUGGUUGGGAAAAUUGGUGUAUGCAUCUACACAUCUGAAUAUUUACUUAUUUAUUGGCCACGCCUUACACACUUGUGAGAUCUUGGUCCCCAACCAGGAAUCAAACCAGGGCCCUUGACAGUACAAGCAGGGCAACUACUGCACCACCAGGGAAUUCCAUAUUCAGCUAAAUCUAAUGGUCUUUUCCAAUUUGAGUUUCUUGAUUUUUAAAAAAUCAUCCUGGCCUUCCCCGGUGGUAUAGUGGCUAAGAACCGCCUGCCAGUGCAAGAGACAUGGGUUUGACCCCUGGUCCAGGAAGAUUCCACAUGCCCUGUGCAACUAAAGCCCGUGUACCACAAUUACUGAAGCCCGAGCACCCUAGCGCCUACAUGCUGCAACUACCGAAGCCCAUGUGCCUAGAACCUGUGCUCCACAAGAGAAGCUACCACAAUGAGAAGCCCUUGCGCCGCAAUGAAAAGUGGACCCCUCGCAUCCCAACUAGACAAAGCCUGGAUGCAACAACGAAGACCCAGCACAACCAAAAAUAGAUCAAUAAAUAAAAUUUUUAAAAAAUAAAUAAAAUAAUCCUAAGCAAAUUCUUCCCAUAUUAGUAUUAGUGUGUCAGUGGUACGGAACAAAGGAUCACAAAUGGAGUGGCUGAAACAACAGAAACUUCUCAUCUGAUAGCUCUGGAAGCCAGAAAUUUGAGGUCAAGGUGUGGACGGGGUGGGUUCCUUCUGAGGGCUGAGUUGUUGUUCAGUUGUUCAGUCGUGUCCGACUCUUUGCGACCCUGUGGACUGCAGCACGCCAGGCUCCCCGUCCUUCACUGCCUCCCUCCUUGGCUUCUAGACGCGUCAGCCCGAUCUCUGUUGUCACCGUCACAGAGCGUCCUCCCGUGUGCCUUUCUGUGUCCAUAUCUCCCCUCUUCAUAAGGACAUAAGUCAUUUGAAUUGGGUCCACCCUAGCAACUUCAUCUUAACACGAUCAUCUUAAGGACUUAAUGGCAAACUCCUUAUUUCUAAACAAGGUCAUGUUCACAAGCACUGGGGAUUAGGACUUGAACUUCUUUGUGUGGGGAGUGGGGACACAAUUCAAUUCAUAGCAUUUGCUUUGACUUGUUUCUAAUGGUUUGAUUAUUUCUCCCUUUCCGCUCGAUUCUCUGUUUUGGAAUUUAUUUAUUUUUAAAAUAUAUUGCCAAAUUGUUUCAAAACCCUGAUAAUGCUUACGGACCUGUCUAUAAUUUUAAUCGAUUGAAAAUUGAAUUUCUCAUUGCCCCUAUCAAAUAGUUUUAUUUGGCAUGUGGGAUCUUAAUUCCCUGACCACAGAUCAAGUCCAUGCUCCCUGCAGUGGAAGCUGGGAAUCUUAACCACUGGACCACCAGGGAAGUCCCCUGGGAUUUAUUUAUUCAACAAAUACAUGUCUAAUAGUGACUAAUGUAUAUUUCCAAAAGGAAAAUUUUAUUCUGUGUCAACUGUACUUCAAGGACAUUGCUUUUGUAAAAAAUAAGUGUUGUGAAAGGAAGAAAGAAAGAAGGGAGGGAGGAAAGAAAAAAAGAAAGAGAGGAAGGAGACGGAAGAGGGGCCUGCAAUUAGCAUUGAGCUUUAUGUCGGAGGACUUUGGAGUGAAGGUUAUCGCCUGUAUUCUUCAGAUAGCCAGCCAUCUGUCAGGUUGUCAGAGAUCCUUCCUGGAUGAAUCACCACCCUCCCCCAACCCCUGCAGAAGACAAGUUAGAGCCGGUGCCCGGGCCUCAAAGGACCUGGAUGGGCCUCCGAGGUCGGCUGGCUCAGACGGCACCCCCACGCGCCCCUUCCUUGCCACCAGGAGCAUCAGCUGCAGUGUCACGGGUGGGAAACGUGGGUCUGCUCUCCAUGGGACAGCAUGGGACCCCCAUGGGACCUCUCCUGGGACAAGCACAGAGGUCAUGCACACAGAAGGGCUAUUUGGUUUCUCUGGUCUCCUGUUCCCCCCACCUCAUUACUGAAUAACUAGAAGACUUCCUGUUUAUCCUCUGACAUAGUUGUUUCAUGGCCAGUUUCACUCCUUGGCCUAUCCUGAGGUGAUCCGGAUUUAGCCUCAGGCUUUUUGAAUUAUUUAUAACAGUUAAACAAAUAUGACGUGACUCAGAUGUCCAUCCACUGAUAUGUGGAUAAAUAAAUGCUGGCUAUCCCUCAAUGCAGCGUUACUCGGCCAUGUGUUGUGUCUGUGCUAAGUCGCUUCAGUGGUGUCCGACUCUUUGUGACCCUAUGGACUUGUAGCCUGCUGGGCUCCUCUGUCUAUGGAAUUCUCCAGGCAACAAUACUGGAGUGGGUUGCCAUUUCCCUCUCCAGGGGAUCUUCGCGACCCAGGGGUGGAACCCGGGUCUCCCGCAUGUCUCGCAGAUUCUUUACUGUCUGAGCCACCAUAAUAAGGGACCAAAUACAGAUUCCUGUACACCGUGGAGGAACCUGGGAGACCUCACUGCUGGGUGAAAGAAGCCAGACAGUAAAUGACAAAUACUGCGUGUUCCAUUUAUGUGAAACGCAGAGAAAAGGCAAAUCCAUAGACACAGAAAGUAGACUAGCAAUGGCUGGGGCUGAGAGAUUUGGGGGGAAAUGAGGAGUGACCACUGAAAGGGGACUGGGUUUCUUUGGUGGUUAUGAUGGCGUUCUGUGAUUAGAUAAUGGUGAUGGUUGUAAAUAUACUAUUAAUAAAAGCCACAAAGCUGUACACUCUAAAAUGGUGAAUACUGGGAAUUCCCUGUUGGUCUAGUGGUUAGGAUUCAGGGCUUUCACAACCCUGCAGGGAUGUGGUGGUGGGAGGGGAAUUCCAUCCCUGGUGGCGGAACUGAGAUCCUGCAAGCUGUGUGGCCAAAAAUUUUUUUGUUUAAAUAAAAAAUGGUGAAUAUUAUGACAUGUGAAUUAAAUCUCAGUUAAAAAAUUUUUUUUAAAAAAACAGAGAAUUCCCUGUGGUGUUUAGGAGUUCAUGAUUCCAUUGCAGGGGGCACAGGUUUGAUUGAUCUCUGUUCCGGGAACUAGGAUCCAGCAUGCAGAUAAAAAGAAAAAGAAAAGAAAAAAUAAUAAAUGUGGGAGUUUGGGAUUAGCAGAUGCAAAUUAUUAUGUA